CUUAACUGGGCGUUAAGUUGCAGGGUAUAGACCCGAAACCCGGUGAUCUAGCCAUGGGCAGGUUGAAGGUUGGGUAACACUAACUGGAGGACCGAACCGACUAAUGUUGAAAAAUUAGCGGAUGACUUGUGGCUGGGGGUGAAAGGCCAAUCAAACCGGGAGAUAGCUGGUUCUCCCCGAAAGCUAUUUAGGUAGCGCCUCGUGAACUCAUCUCCGGGGGUAGAGCACUGUUUCGGCAAGGGGGUCAUCCCGACUUACCAACCCGAUGCAAACUGCGAAUACCGGAGAAUGUUAUCACGGGAGACACACGGCGGGUGCUAACGUCCGUCGUGAAGAGGGAAACAACCCAGACCGCCAGCUAAGGUCCCAAAGUCAUGGUUAAGUGGGAAACGAUGUGGGAAGGCCCAGACAGCCAGGAUGUUGGCUUAGAAGCAGCCAUCAUUUAAAGAAAGCGUAAUAGCUCACUGGUCGAGUCGGCCUGCGCGGAAGAUGUAACGGGGCUAAACCAUGCACCGAAGCUGCGGCAGCGACGCUUAUGCGUUGUUGGGUA
rnacentral:rRNA from 1 species